ensembl:lncRNA
GGUACCCUGAGGGCCGCACGUUAGACAGCGUGCCCUCUGGAGCUGCUCCUCCGCGGGGCCACGCUGACAGAGGCCCUGGCCGUUUCGACCCUGCGCGCUCCGGAUCGGACUCCAGGUGUCCCGCUCCCCGCAGGGCCCAGGAUGGGUGGGGUCUCCAGUUAGUGCUGUUUGGAGCUCCCUUUUUAACAAGAAUGCGAAAUUAGAUACGAAGGCUCAGAGAAGUUUUCCGCCUGGGCCAGUGGACAGUAACUGAUUGGAAUAUAAUCAUUCGCUCAUUAUGUCACUUUCCCAAACUUACUCUGCAUCAGGCCAGCACUAAUCAGGAGCUCCACCUCAAAGCUCAGAGUCCUGUUGGGAUAAUGUGCAUAAUGACUGUCUCAGACUGUGAGAUGGAAACCAGGCCGUCCCUGGUGUUCUUCUCAAACUUAGGGAAAAGGGCAGAAUCCUAAUAAGCGGAAGUAGCUCACGUGAGCAGCUGAGUGAGUGUUGUUCUGGGCCUUUCCUGAGAUGGACAGCCUACCCCCAGCCAAGGACAGAGAUGAAAGCGGCGCCCAGCAGCCCAGUCAGAUGGAUGGAGUGGCCUGAUUUCCCGAGGCAGCUUCGUGCUGAGUGCCCAUCACUGGGAGUGAGUCAGACAUACAGCUCAAGGUCUGCAGUAACAGAGUCAGGGAGACAAGGCAUAUACCACAAACUCAUGAAAAGUAACAGUACAGAAAGUAAGUAACGAUACAAGGGAGGCAGUAUGUUAUUAAUUGUCAGAGAACACAAGGUAGGAAGUCUGGGGCCCUGGAGAGCCUAGCAGAGUUGCCUCAGCACUGGAAUACUUUGUGCAAGAAGCAGGAACUGGAUAGGUGGGGGGAGGGUGCUGGGUACAGGCAGCUGAUGAACAAAGAUGGAAUGCAGGGAUCAACGGGCAAGUGGCGGUUAGGGUAGAGCUGGGUGCAGGCAGUGCCAAGGGAUUGGUGGGCACAGGUCCUCCAGGCCACCUGGGAGUAGUGGGAAGAAUUGGGAAAGUUGGGCAGGAGCUGGACAGGGAGGAAACAGACUGCUGGGUCUGGCUUCCCUCUGGUGUCUAACCAUGAGCUUCUGAAGGCUUUUCCGUAGGAAAAGUUAUGAAACCCGGUGUUACAUUCUCAAGAUCACAGGACUUCUCAUCACAAAUUGUUCAUAUUAUUCUGUUAGAAACCAGUUCCAGUGCUGGUGAGUACUCUGAAUUUUUGUUUCUUAAAGAGUAUCAAAGUUCAUGAUUAUUUUAUUGUCAGUACACAUCCUCUCUAUUGUGAAGGGCACACAGGAAGCCUUGUUUUUGUUUCUCCAGUGAAGUAAUGAAGGGCAGACUGGCUCUGCUGACAUGGGCAAGUUAGUCAAUCUCUCUGCCUCCUAGGAGUAAUACACAGGGCAGUCAGAGCUUCUGUCAGUCAGAGGUGUAUCGUGAGGAUGGCCCGAGCCAGUAUCGAGACAGUCCUUAGAGACGUACCUGGCAUGCAGAGAGCUGCAGGAGGGUUUACUGACCGAAUCACAGACAAUUCUGAUAGCACUUUCCCCUGUCAGGACAGCUCAGAUAGAAACACUGGAAGUUUCAGGCCUUAUUCGAAUCUUUUCUUCUAGAAAGAGGGUUUUCAAGAGGGGUAGCCCCAGAGCCCCCUCAGAAUGGAGGGUUUGAGCUGGAAGAGGCUUAUGAGAGCAGCCAGUGCGGGGCCCCUUUUGCAGGUGAGGAAACUGAGAAUGUGGCCUCGUGGAGCAGCAGCCUCUGAACGGCUCCCUGGCUGUCUCUCCCCUCAUGCAGGGGCCUCCUCCCACCUCUGGGCUGCUGCCCUUGAUCUUUGCCCAGAGAGGUGUGCGCCCCCCCCACCCUCCUGCCUGCCUCUUCGUCCCCUCACUCUGCUCUCUGUACUGCUCCCUGGCUGUGCCUGUAAGUGCUCGUGCGUGCACUGUGGCUCCUCCAUAAGCCUCACCAGGCAGGGGGCCUGUGGUCCUGCUCUCUUCCGGCACUUGUGUCCGGCAUGGACACAGCCCCUGGAUGAAAGAACAAAGCUUUGGAAGCCCUGGUUCGGGUAUGUCUCCUUCACAUCUCUUCCUUCCGCGGCUCAAUGUAAAGAGCAGCAAUGCGGCCAGACCCUG